CGGCAUGCCUAACACAUGCAAGUCGAACGGCAGCACAGGUAGCAAUACCGGGUGGCGAGUGGCGGACGGCUGAGGAAUACAUCGGGACCUGCCCAGACGUGGGGGAUAACGUAGGGAAACUUACGCUAAUACCGCAUACGUCCUACGGGAGAAAGCGGGGGAUCUUCGGACCUCGCGCGGUUGGAUNGACCGAUGUUCGAUUAGCUAGUUGGUGAGGUAAUGGCUCACCAAGNNNACGAUCGAUAGCUGGUCUGAGAGGAUGAUCAGCCACACUGGGACUGAGACACGGCCCAGACUCCUACGGGAGGCAGCAGUGGGGAAUAUUGGACAAUGGGCGCAAGCCUGAUCCAGCAAUGCCGCGUGUGUGAAGAAGGCCUUCGGGUUGUAAAGCACUUUUAUCAGGAGCGAAAUACUACGGGUUAAUACCUCGUGGGGCUGACGGUACCUGAGGAAUAAGCACCGGCUAACUUCGUGCCAGCAGCCGCGGUAAUACGAAGGGUGCAAGCGUUAAUCGGAAUUACNNNGCGUAAAGCGUGCGUAGGCGNUUUUUUAAGUCUGCUGUGAAAUCCCCGGGCUCAACCUGGGAAUGGCAGUGGAUACUGGAAAAGCU
rnacentral:rRNA from 1 species